UUUUUUCUGCGGAGAAACAUUACAUUCACUCUGUGGUUAAAGUUUUUAGAACUUUCUUAAACUAUCCUGGGUUUGUACCAAAUUUGGACAGAAGCUUGUUUAUGAUCAUAAGAUAGUAUCCAGAAGUAAAUUUUGUAAAUAAAUAAAUCCAUUUUUUCCAUAUUUUACUUUUAAAUGGACUUAGUUUUUCUCCAGGGAACCAUUACAUUCACUCUGUGGUUAAAGUUUUAAAAAUUUUAAUAACUUUCUUAAACUAUCCUGGGUUUGUACCAAACUUGGACAGAAGCUUAUUUAUGAUCAUAAUAUUGUAUCCAGAAGUAAAGUUUGUAAAAAGAUUACUCAGUUUUUUCUGUAAUUUACUUUUAAAUGGACUUAGAUUUUCUUGCAAUCAUAAAAUAGUACAUGUAACAAGAGGAAUAUUUUUAUUGAUUUUUUCCCUCAUUGUUGUUGAGUCUGCAAUUUACAGCAAAAAUAGGCGAGACACUGGGUUCCGCGGAACCCUUACAAAUUUUUAAGACCAGGGGUUUUCUCUUUGGACUGAAGCACACGUGUGGCUCUCUUUCUGUUGGAUAGGUUAUAUUUAUGAAGUUGCAUAUGUUAAGUAUCAUCUUUGUGUAUUGACUUUUUGUCUGAUCAUGUAGUCUUUUCAAUGGUGAGAAUCAGAAAUUCCUC
rnacentral:lncRNA from 1 species